CCACCCGCGGCCCCUCCCGCUCUCAGCGGGCACGGGGCGCCGGGACCCCGGGCGCGGAGAUGCGAACCCUGAGCCGUUGACCCCGAGGCCGGGGACUGGCCGGAAGAAGAGGCCGAAGCCUGGAGCGCAUGGCGCGGCGGCGGGGACGGCGCGGUCACAGCCCGAGUGGCGGGGCAGGCGCGCCUGACAGCUGAGAGCCGGGGCGCCACACCCACCGCCCGCGCAGUCGCUAGCGCCCUCCCCGGGUCCGCCCGCCCGCGGGCCACGCGCGGCGCCCGCCGCCUCCCCGCAGCCCAAGGCCUGCACGCCCCAGCUGUGAUGUUCCAGAGUUACCCGACCCUCAGUGGAAUGGGCUGCUGAGGGUCAGGAGUGCAGGGAGCUGGCUGGGGAAAAUUUGGAAGAAGAGCGUAACAAAGGUCAAAGUCAUCAGACCUAGUCUAGUUUUCUACAGGAUUGAAAAUUACCAAUUAUUCUCAAGUUUCUGCUAUUAGCGACCAAUGUUUUCCAUCUGAAACAGACCCCUCCUUUUUUAAAAAAGGAAAUGCACAAAAAGGAAGCAAACUCUUCGAAAAUUCUGAUUGUUUUGCAUCCCAGCAGCAAAUAAAAAUCAUCAAUAGAAC
rnacentral:lncRNA from 1 species